UACUUAUGGAAGAUUAAAGUACCUGCGAAACUGAAAGUGUUUUUAUGGUUGAUCAAUAAAAAAAGCAUCAUAACUAGAGAUGUACUGCUUAAAAAAGGAUGGAAGGGUGAGAAAAGAUGUGUCUUGUGUGGGAAAGAUGAAUCAAUUGAUCAUCUAUUCUUCUCUUGCUCGGUUGCUUAA
rnacentral:rRNA from 1 species